GUCUCAGGCGUAUCAGCCUGAAGGCGCCCGAUCUCGUCUGAUCUCGGAAGCUAAGCAGGGUCGGGCCUGGUUAGGAUCUUGGAUGGGAGACCACCUGGGAAUCCCGGGUGCUCGAGGCU
rnacentral:rRNA from 1 species